AAUUACCCAACCUUACCCUAAGCCACCCACACCAUUCUCAUCUCCUCCAACCUUCUGCUGGCGUUCACGUCUUUUUCGCCGCCGUCUUCUCCGCGCCUCUCGCCGCCGUCUUCUCCGCGCCUCUCGCCGCCGUCUUCUGUGCGCCUCUCGCCGCCGUCUUCUGUGCGCCUCUCGCCGCCGUCUCCUGAGGUUCCGUCCGCGUCGUCUUCUCCGGUCGCGGCGCCAUCUCCUCGUCGUCUUCUUCCUCCCACGGAAACGGCCGCCUCACCUCCCG
rnacentral:lncRNA from 1 species